GAAGGGAACAGCAGAAGACAGGAAACAGCAGAAACUGUCAAAUACAUUCCUAAAAAAUCAGCCAAACAGGCCAAUAAGACAGGGGGAAAAAAAGUAGGAGUAAUAUCAAUGGCUCAAGUUGAUGUAGAUCUCAAGGCAUUUAGAGAGUUUUUGACCUGAGUUAAGUAUAGGAAUAAUUUUGUAAGACAGGUGUUUGUUUAACCUGUAGGAAACCUGAGACCUCCAGAGUGCUGUCAAGCAGAGUAAGAUUUAAAGUGAAGCUCUGACUGCACUGGCACACAAGUUUAACAGAAGGUCGUACACAUGCUGUAUGUGGCCAAUGCUGGGAACUAAGGAAUCGAGAAUAUGGGCAGUGCCAUGGUGGGCUAGCCUAGAGGACUGGUCUCUAAGCCUGGCUAAUCAGGGCUCUGGUACCUGAUAGUGGAUGACUGACUAUAAAAAUCAAGAUUCAGCUUACUCCCUGAGGCCUGCUGUACCACCAGAUCAAAGUGCUUACACUUGGCAACCUGAAAAUCAAAUACCAUUGCUCUCACUCCGAAAACGUGUGAAACAGAA